rnacentral:rRNA from 1 species
GAUCCUGGCUCAGGACGAACGCUGGCGGCGUGCCUAACACAUGCAAGUCGAACGGAGAAUUUUAUUUCGGUAGAAUUCUUAGUGGCGAACGGGUGAGUAACGCGUAGGCAACCUGCCCUUUAGACGGGGACAACAUUCCGAAAGGAGUGCUAAUACCGGAUGUGAUCAUCGUGCCGCAGGUUUUUUUUUUUUUUUUUUUUUUUUUUUUUUUCAGGAUGAAGAAAGAUGCCUCUACAAGUAAGCUAUCGCUAAGGAGUGGCCGUGCGU